rnacentral:rRNA from 1 species
AUUGAACGCUGGCGGCAGGCCUAACACAUGCAAGUCGAACGAGUGGCGGACGGGUGAGUAAUGUCUGGGAAACUGCCCGAUGGAGGGGGAUAACUACUGGAAACGGUAGCUAAUACCGCAUACCAUCGGAUGUGCCCAGAGGGGAUGAGCUAGUAGGCGGGGUAACGGCUCACCUGGGCGACGAUCCCUAGCGGGUCUGAGAGGAUGACGGGCCAAAUGGGAAUGGAGAAACGGUCCGGACUCCAACGGAGGGCAGCAGUGGGAAAUAUUGCACAAGGGGGGCAAGCCUGAUGCAGCAAUGCCGCGUAUAUGAAGAGGGCCUUCGGGUUGUAAAGUACUUUCAGCGGGGAGGCGUUACUCGCAGAGAAAGCACCGGCUAACUCCGUGCCAGCCGCCGCGGUAAUAC